CGUGCCCUAACACAUGACAAGUCGAACGAAGCAUAUUUAACGGAGAUUCGUCGAAGCUGGAUAUGACUUAGUGGCGGACGGGUGAGUAAUGGUAUGAGCAACCUGCCUUUCAGAGGGGGACAACAGUUGGAAACGACUGCUAAUACCGCAUAAUGUAUUUGGGUGGCAUCACCUGGAUACCAAAGGAGCAAUCCGCUGAAAGAUGGGCUCAUAUCUGAUUAGCUUGUUGGCGGGGUAACGGCCCACCAAGGCGACGAUCAGUAGCCGGACUGAGAGGUUGAACGGCCACAUUGGGACUGAGAUACGGCCCAGACUCCUACGGGAGGCAGCAGUGGGGAAUAUUGGGCAAUGGGCGAAAGCCUACGACCCAGCAACGCCGCGUGAAGGAAGAAGGUCUUCGGAUUGUAAACUUCUUUUAUGAGGGACGAAGGACGUGACGGUACCUCAUGAAUAAGCCACGGCUAACUACGUGCCAGCAGCGGC
rnacentral:rRNA from 1 species